ensembl:lncRNA
CAGGAUCACGCCCUGGGCCAAAGGCAGGCGCUAAACCACUGCGCUACCCAGGGAUCCCAAGCAGCUGUAGUUCACUGCUGCUUUCUAUGUUUUGAAACUAUGAGCAUGUUUAAAGGGGGCUUGAGAAACACUCGACUGGUGGCUGCAGGGAUUUCUGCAGAAGGGUUCCAAGGAGCCAAAAGCAUCACGGGCCCCUGUCCUGUCCCUCAGAACAGUGGAAUGGUCAUUACCUGAACUACAGUCGACGUCAGCGGCUGGGGAGGUCCUCAGAGCAUGAGCAGCUCCUCUUAGGUAAUAUGGAGUAAGGAAGCCCAGUGGCUUCGGAGCCAAACCCUAAAGCGGAUGUGAACUUGUCAGGGAAGCCAAGGAGGUUUUUAGAGGGUGAUGUCACAACUGACCAGAGUUCACCUCAGUUACAUGGUCACCGGGUCACAAUUCUGAGGUAUGGCUGGGGUACAGCCUCGAAGCCAGAGAGCAGGAAGGAGCGAGGGAGGACAGGACAUGGAGACAGAAGGAAAAACAAGAAAGUGAAGGAGAUGUAGGAAGUGACACACAGGAGCCUGGGACGGGUGCCCUGGCUUCUGUCCUCAGAGCCAGCUGUUCAGGGGCAGAGAAGGUGACAGCUGUCCCAUGGAGAGAGAAGCCGAGAUCCACAGUGAAUCCUGAGGCUGAGGGUGGGAGUUCACUGGCUUCCGGCCAAGGAGCUCCUGGCAGGCAUCUCCUCAGGGUGGACAGAGCUGCACUCACCACCAAGGAUGCUGUCAUGGAGUUGGCGAGCAACGGGUCUAGCUCCACUGAUGGCUCCCCUACUGAGGAAAUGAGACCUCAAUGCACUCCGCCCCACAGCCUUAACUGUGGAGGAGUCUAAAACUGUUCAACGCUGCAUCUGUUAGGUGAGGAUUUGUACGUUGUCUGCACAGGUGUGAAGAAAGGGCUUUAGAUCAUGACUGUGCACCUGAUCUUUGCAUUAUCUUGGAAGUCACCCGUCUUCCCAGUGGCGUGCUGGCAAGUGUUUCUGGCUCUCCAAGGGAACGAAGCCCUCAUUUGUAGUGGUUGCCAAUUUCUACAGUGUAAAUAUACCCACUAUAGCUUGUUUCAAGCCAUAUGAUAUGAAACCACUGAAACAGUUGAGACAAGAUGUGCACGAGAGGCUCUAGAUGUGCACAGGGUGAGCCAGCUGCAGCACACCACUGCCUGUGGUCUUCCCACUUGCCCAGCCCACUCCUACCUCCUGGCCUGUUUUUACCACUCCCCCACCCCAGAACAAGUCAGAGGCUCUCAGAACUCUCGCAUGAUUGUCCAGCAUAGCGUCUAUCAUAAAGCAUGAUGAUACAUUUGUGGGAUUUUGUUACUGUCCACCUCCCUGCUAGAUUAUAAGCUUCAGGAAGGCAGGGCUGUGUCUGUUUAUUCCAAGGGCAAUGCCACUGUGUAAUUGUUAAAUGAAGGCAAAAAUGAAAGAAGAAAUGGAGGAACCACAAACAUCCUUUUUAUAUUUAGCAGGGUCUCUUUGACUCCCACCUCUGGGGCUGCUGAUCCAUUGCAUGACAUUAGUAGACUUUCAGGGGUGCCAAAUAGAGACAUGGGCAUAAAGGGAUCAUGGAGAUAUGAAUGUGAGAGGCAAAAGGAUGGGGGUGGCUGGUGAGAACAGAUAGGAAAGAGAUGCUCCUUGGAUGCUCCUUGGCAGAUAAGUUGGACUUCUCCAAAGCUUGCCUCUGAACUUCUUUAUACGGGAACAAAAUGCCCAAGGAAAGGCUAAGCUGUGCACUACAGCAAUCAGCCUUGGUUGUUUUGGCUUGAUAGGAGAUCUGAGACUGCCUCAGAUCUGAAACAAAAGCCAUGUGAAAAGAAGGCAUCACACCUUUCUAUCU